rnacentral:lncRNA from 1 species
UUUAAUUUGCGAGAUGUUACAAAACUCAAAUUAAACCUAGAAAAAGUUGAAAAAUCUGAAAAUCAAUCUGCUGCUGGUUUCCAAACCAUUUCGUUGAUAGCCAUUGAACUGGAGCUGAAGUUUUAUGUAUUAGUUGUUGCCACUUUAGAAAUAUAAGAAAAAAACUAGCUCGAGAAGUUGAAAUCCCCGAGUCAGGGAUUUGUUCCGAAUGAGUACUGUUUCAAUCGAUUUUUGUUGCUGAUUCCAGUCUGUUUCGUGGUUACCCAUUGAGUUUGGAGAGGAACAAUUUGAAGAAGAAGAAAAUUCGCCGUUAAAGCUCCAUCGAAGCUCAAGUUCGAAAAAUUGGAUUGCCGCAAACAAGCUUCGUUUCGGCUUUAAUAUUAUUGCAAAAGAUUAGGAACGUCUUGGAGAGCUCAUAUCUCAAAUUUGGGAUAAUUUGGUGGAGGAUUCGGCCGACUUUCAGCUGCAAAUUGGUUUUGUAAAAAGAAGAAUGCUGAAUUUUAAUUUUUUAUUAUGUUA